AAUCAUGCUGCUAUAAAAACAUAUGCACACGUAUGUUUAUUGCAGCACUAUUCACAAUAGCAAAGACUUGGAACCAAAUUCUUUCAACUCUUUUAAGGUCCUAACUGAACAUUAUGUGUGUUUCUUAACAUUUACUAGAUCAUAAAUAUCUCAAGAUAGGGAAAUUCGUCUUAUUUAUUGCUGUGUCCUUAGCAUAUAACAUACUGCCUACCCUAUAGUGGAUACUCAAUGCAAGAAUGAGGGUGCAGUGGGCACCAGUCACUUUUUCUUCCUAAAAUUAAACAUUUCUCACCUGUGUACCCCCUCAGAAUUGCUUUUCUGAAUGUACUUCAAACAGAACCCGCCAUUUUCUUAAAGCCCAUGCCUCCCUGACCAUAGCAAUUAAUCUAGGGGUGAGCAGUUGACACUGGUAUCCCACCUCCUUGGCCACAGUUGAUUGGUCCAGAGAUGGGCACCUUACCCAAACUAGGCCAAUGAGAGUACUUCCGCCAGCAUUUUGAAAUUUGUGAGAAAAAGGACCUACUAUUACCAGGUAAUCCUAUACUUAGUGGAUGGAGCCCAAAUAUAUAAUAAAAUCAAGAUUCUACUACUUCAUAUCUUGUGGGCCAUGGAUCUUAUAGGAGUCUUAAGGGGGUGUUGGUCUUGUCCUUUUCAUAGUUGCAGGCAUGGUGCAAAGGCAGGACAACCUACCUUUAUCUGCUCCUUCUAUACUACUGAUCCUACCCUAAACAUGUAGGUGUAUAAUCAGAGACAGGAAGCCAUGGCAAAUCUGGAGGGUCUGGACUUGGCUAUAUCUUAAAGAGUUACAUAUAAUCGUGGUUCAACAUUGGUGAAAUUUUCCAAAAAUUGGUGGAGGAAAGAGUGGCCAAUGCAAUUUUAUCUUUCUCUUUUCUGCUGACAUCAGGGAGAGAGAUAAGAGCUUUUAAAAUCAUAAUUAUGGGGAAAUAAUAUUUUAAAAUCUAGCUCAAGUUAAACCCAUUAGAAAAGGUAACACCUUUCAGGACCCCCAAAUGGCCACAUCUUAUCCAAUGAGGGGACACCAGCCAUAGAGUCUAUACUGCACACUUCAAAUGGUAGCCACGAGCUAUCAGGCACUUAAAAUGUGGUGAGUCCUACUUGAGACAUACUGUAAAAUACACACCAGAUUUCAAAGGCUAAGUACAAAAAAGAUGAAAAAUAUCUCAUUCACUGUUUAUAAAUACGAGUUGAAAUGCUUAUAUUUGGAUAUACUAGGUUAAAUGAAAUACAUUAUUAAAAUAAUUUCACCUAUUUCUUUUUACUUUUCUUGAUGUGACUACCAGAAAAUUUAAAAUUACAUAUGUGGUUUGCAUUAUAUUUCUAUUGAACAGCACUCAUCUGUACAUUUCCAGUGAAAUGUUUAGCAUAUGUUGAAGUUACUGCUCCUGAUGCAGUGGCUUAUCUCAGAUAUGGCCAAGUUCUUCUGUCCAAGGAAAACUAGGUUCAACCCAUUCCUGGAGAGGAAGAGACUCAAAUCUUUCUGAGCUGGGUCACUUACCUUGGUUACAUCUGUUCUCCACCUAUUCUACCAACAACCAAACGGAUGGACAUAGCUGAAAUAAAAUCAUGCAAUCACACUGAAUGAUGUCUCACCUCAGGUGGGCCUUCAGCAUUGAAGCAUUCUACUGCUACAUUUCAUUCUACUGCUACAUUUCCCCUAAUCCACACAUUCUUAGCUUCUUAGCUUUCACACAUUCUUAGCUUCUCAUCGAACCUCCAGCAUGCGCUCCCGCCCCUGCCCCCACCACAAUCUGAGCCUUAGGACAAAGAGUAUUUUUUUCCUAAUGAAAUAUUUCAAACAAAGAUAGAUACAGAAAAUAAUAUAACAAACAAACAUGUGCCCAUCACCUCACUUUGCCAGAUGUUAACAUUUUGUCAUCUUUGCUUAAUGUAUUUUACAAAAUUAAACAUUUUACAUACAGUCUGUAACCCUCCAUGGGGCUGGCAGGAAAGGGUUCUCAUUGUCAAAGUUCAAAGUAAUUGAUCAUUGAAAAAAUAAUGAUCGCAUUAAAAGGAGCCCUUAUAUAAUAGAGAUAUAUAUUGAAAUACUCAUAAAUGAAAUGAUAUCCUGUCUAGGAUUGACUUCAAACACAUCCAGCUGAUGUUACAAUCAUUGGGUGAAUUGCUGAUGUGGAAUUUGACAUUUGUAUGGUGCCAAAAUAGUAUCUCAGAGAUUUCUUUUUGAUUGCUACUGGAAAUGUUAACUUUAGAAUGGAGGUAUCAGGCUAAUCCACGGGUCAAAUUUAGUGUCACUAAGGAUGGGAUGGCCAGAUAUUAUCUGCCCCUGAUAUGGCACAAUAUGAAGGACUCAGCAUCAUCUUUGAUAUAUUUUAGCCAAAAAACUUACUUAACUUGAAUCUAAUCGGAACUUAGGUAUAUUCAAUAGCAUGAGAUAUUCUACAGGACUGCAAGCCAACUUUCUUUCACUAAAUGAGUGUCAGGAAAAAAGGGACUACUCCGUACUAAAAGAGAGUGUGGGCCUAAACAACCAGAUGCAAUGUGCAGUCUUAGGUUGAAUUCUGAUUUGGACCAACUAGCUACAAAGGAUGCCUUUGAAGCAAUUAAGAAAAUUUGAGGCGCGCCCAGCCGGCGGGAGCGCGGCGGCCCGGCUCCGGCAGGGCCGCGCCAAGCCAGGCGAGCCCCUGCGGCGCUCAGGCGCGGGCCUGCGCCGCGCCGCGGGGCGCGGCAUUUUUAUUCCGGCGACGCUUAAGGGAGCCCGGCCGCGCCCGGUGCAUUGUGGGAGCGGUCCACGGCCCGUUUUCGGGAGGCGGCGGAGGGCGCAAAGCGAGCCGGUGGAUCCAUAAAGAACCCAGCCAACCCGCAGAGGUAGGGGAGGGGCUGAGCUGUGAGGAGAGCGGGGCCCAAGAACCAUGUCUAUGCGGGAGUCGUUUAACCCGAAAAGUUACGAAUUGGACAAAAGCUUCCGGCUAACCAGAUUCACUGAACUGAAGGGCACAGGCUGCAAAGUGCCCCAAGAUGUCCUGCAAAAAUUGCUGGAAUCUUUACAAGAGAACCACUUCCAAGAAGAUGAGCAGUUUCUGGGAGCCGUUAUGCCAAGGCUUGGUAUUGGAAUGGAUACUUGUGUCAUUCCUUUGAGGCACGGUGGGCUUUCCUUGGUUCAAACCACAGAUUACAUUUACCCGAUCGCAGACGACCCUUACAUGAUGGGCAGGAUAGCAUGUGCCAAUGUCCUCAGUGACCUUUACACAACGGGGUCACGGAAUGUGACAAUAUGCUGAUGCUCCUUGGAGUCGAUAAUAAAAUGACCGACAGGGAAAGGGAUAAAGUGAUGCCUCUGAUUAUCGAAGGUUUUAAAGACGCAGCUGAGGAAGCAGAAACGUCUGUAACAGGUGGCCAAACAGUACUAAACCCCUGGAUUGUCCUGGGAGGAGUUGCUACCACUGUCUGUCAGCCCAGUGAAUUUAUCAUGCCAGACAAUGCAGUGCCAGGGGACGUGUUGGUGUUGACAAAACCCCUGGGGACACAGGUGGCAGUGGCUGUGCACCAGUGGCUGGAUAUUCCUGAGAAAUGGAAUGAGAUUAAACUAGUGAUCACCCAAGAAGAUGUAGAGCCGGCCUACCAGGAGGCAAUGAUGAACAUGACGAGGCUCAACAAGACAGCUGCAGGACUUAUGCACACGUUCAGUGCCCACCCGGCCACUGACAUCACGGGCUUCGGGAUUUGGGGCCAUGUGCAGAACCUGGUCAAGCAGCAGAGGAACGAGGUGUCGUUUGUAAUUCACAGCCUCCCGGUGCUGGCCAAGAUGGCUGCGGUGAGCAAAGCCUGUGGAAACAUGUUCGGCCUCAUGCACGGGACCUGCCCAGAGACCUCAGGCGGCCUUCUGAUCUGUUUACCACGUGAGCAAGCAGCUCGGUUCUAUGCAGAGAUAAAGUCUCCCAAAUAUGGUGAAGGCCACCAAGCAUGGAUUAUUGGGAUUGUAGACAAGGACAACCGCACAACAAGAAUGAUAGACAAACCCCGGAUCAUCGAGGUUGCACCACAAGUGGCCACUCAAAAGGUGAAUCCCACACCUGGGGCCACCUCUUAAUCUAGACAGAAAUAGUUGUUUGGUUUUGAUUUUAAAUACAUCUGUUUCCCUUACCACUUCAAUUAAAGACUAUAAACAACAAAAAUCUCAUUGUGUCUACACAUCGGGGUGACCUUAGGUCUGUUUGUAAGUGGAUACAAUUAAUAAAAUAAAAUCCAUUGCCUUUUUUCCUGUUACAUUAACUGAAGAUGCACCUAAUCUUGAGGCAGCCUCUGAGUUGAGAAUUAUAUUGUUAUCCAAUACUGUUGAUUCAUUUUGAAUCUUUAGACACUUAUCUCUUGCCGCAUAGGCUCUUUUUAAAGGUGCUUUCACAUAGCACAGACAUUACCAGUAGUCAUGUCAAAUAGCAGUUGGUGUCUUCAUUUUAUGUAUAUUUAUCAUAUAAGUCUGAUUUUUUUUUUUAAGCGUCUUGAAUGGUUUUCUGGAGAGCCAGCACUGGUAAGUGGCACAUGAUGGUAUCCCAGUCAUGUCCCAGUCAUAGGAGGGUUGCAUGAUUCCUUUGAGUGUUUGAUUUGAAAAGCCUAGUCUUGUCUCUCAAGAGCAUCUUGAACCUAGAACAUUCUCCAGUAGUGCAUUCAGUUCAACAUGGCAAGUGCUUCACUGCAUGGAAAACCCUUUGAAGACAAAAAAGAAAUCUUAUUUCUUUUUUUGUAGCCUUCCUGAUAUUUACAGUAAUAUUAACUGUUUUAUCAAUAGCAAAAAAGGAUACUUUUUGCAAUGUAAUUAGAUGUUCUAUAGUGCUACAAGGAAUUGCCUUCCGAAUGGAGGUUGAUGUAUAAUACUCAUUUAUAAUUCAAUAUAUAAUUACGCAAAUAAUUUUUAAAUAUAAUCAAUAAUAAAGACUGUUCUGUGGAUGGUAGUGUUUAAUACAUUUUAUAUUUUGUAUAGUGAUUUCAGGCCUUUUGUUUUCUUAAAAUCAGCAGCUGUUUAGCCUAAUUCUUAGCAUUAUUUUGUCCUUUGCGCCAGUACUUUUUUGUGCACCCUUUUCGUGAUCUGUGUUAAAAACCUGCACUGCCAACGUUGCAGCUCAAACUUAAAACUUGUUAUUCAAAUAAAUAUUUAACUUUUUAAAUUGCUCUUGUAUAAUCAGAUGCCCCUUUUAGUAUUAUUUUAGAAGCAUUGGGAGGGUUUUGCCUAAAGUACAAUUUAUCGGGAAAAACUAGAUUUUAGUUUUAUAAAACUUUUAAGUCUUUCAUGGGACCUAUAUUUUCUUGAAUUAAAUUUUGUAGUUCUAGAAUAAAUAGGCAACCUAAAAAGGUGUUAUCUGUGUUUCGUAAAGUGGAGGCUUCCUUAUAUUUUAACCUACUGAGCAAAGAGGAGGGAUUCCUGUCACUAAGCACGAGGGCACUGGAUCCUCGAGUGCCCACCUUCAUGAGAGAAAAAGCAGCACAUCCUGCAUGUUUCCGGUGCUUCCAGCUCACAGGCAUCAAAGCCGCACGUGUAAACUGACUUCUUGCCAAAGGAAAUGACCCCUGGGAAGAUCAAGCUCCUGGAAGAGGCUUUAACUCCGACGCGACCUCCUCUGGGAACCAGCGGGCAGGGCAGCCUUUAUGCAUGUGUAACUGGACCUCCACCCGUAAGCAUAGUGUGCAGUUUGGAAGAGCCUGCUAUGGAACUGAAAUUGGUUGGACAUUUUAUAGGAAUUGAUAUACAGAUGUUGGUCCUCAAAAGCUACAAACCAGUGGUCUGCAAAAUAAAAUGUGUUGGAAACCUCU